UUCCAGACUCCUACGGGAGGCAGCAGUGAGGAAUAUUGGUCAAUGGGCGCGAGCCUGAACCAGCCAAGUCGCGUGAGGGAAGACGGUCCUAUGGAUUGUAAACCUCUUUUGUCGGGGAGCAAAGAGAGUCACGUGUGGCUCAUUGAGAGUGCCCGAAGAAAAAGCAUCGGCUAACUCCGUGCCAGCAGCCGCGGUAAUACGGAGGAUGCGAGCGUUAUCCGGAUUUAUUGGGUUUAAAGGGUGCGCAGGCGGAGGUGCAAGUCAGUGGUCAAAUUGCGGGGCUCAACCCCGUACUGCCGUUGAAACUGCAUCCCUUGAGUGCGCGAGAAGUAUGCGGAAUGCGUGGUGUAGCGGUGAAAUGCAUAGAUAUCACGCAGAACCCCGAUUGCGAAGGCAGCAUACCGGCGCGCAACUGACGCUCAUGCACGAAAGCGUGGGUAUCGAACAGGAUUAGAUACCCGAGUAGUA
rnacentral:rRNA from 1 species